rnacentral:rRNA from 1 species
UGCAAGUCGAACGGCAGCACAGUAGAGCUUGCUCUAUGGGUGGCGAGUGGCGGACGGGUGAGUAAUGCAUCGGGACCUACCUAGACGUGGGGGAUAACGUAGGGAAACUUACGCUAAUACCGCAUACGUCCUACGGGAGAAAGCAGGGGACCUUCGGGCCUUGCGCGGUUAGACGGACCGAUGUUCGAUUAGCUUGUUGGUGGGGUAAUGGCCUACCAAGGCGACGAUCGAUAGCUGGUCUGAGAGGAUGAUCAGCCACACUGGGACUGAGACACGGCCCAGACUCCUACGGGAGGCAGCAGUGGGGAAUAUUGGACAAUGGGCGCAAGCCUGAUCCAGCAAUGCCGCGUGUGUGAAGAAGGCCUUCGGGUUGUAAAGCACUUUUAUCAGGAACGAAAUCCUACUGGUUAAUACCCGGUGGGUCUGACGGUACCUGAGGAAUAAGCACCGGCUAACUUCGUGCCAGCAGCCGCGGUAAUACGAAGGGUGCAAGCGUUAAUCGGAAUUACUGGGUCGUAAAGCGUGCGUAGG